rnacentral:rRNA from 1 species
UACCAGCACCCCGAGUGGUCGGGACGUUUAUUGGGCCUAAAGCAUCCGUAGCCGGCCUUACAAGUCCUCCGUUAAAUCCAGCUGCUUAACAGAUGGGCUGCGGAGGAUACUAUAAGACUAGGAGGCAGGAGAGGCAAGCGGUACUCAGUGGGUAGGGGUAAAAUCCGUUGAUCCAUUGAAGACCACCAGUGGCGAAGGCGGCUUGCCAGAAUGCGCUCGACGGUGAGGGAUGAAAGCUGGGGGAGCAAACCGG